rnacentral:rRNA from 1 species
AGUGAACGCUGGCGGUAGGCCUAACACAUGCAAGUCGAACGGCAGCACAGUAAGAGCUUGCUCUUACGGGUGGCGAGUGGCGGACGGGUGAGGCAUACAUCGGAAUCUACUUUUUCGGGGGGGAUAAUGUAGGGAAACUUACGCUAAUACCGCAUACGACCUACGGGUGAAAGCAGGGGAUAUUCGGACCUUGCGCGAUUGAAUGAGCCGAUGUCGGAUUAGCUAGUUGGCGGGGUAAAGGCCCACCAAGGCGACGAUCCGUAGCUGGUCUGAGAGGAUGAUCAGCCACACUGGAACUGAGACACGGUCCAGACUCCUACGGGAGGCGGCAGUGGGGAAUAUUCGACAAUGGGCGCAAGCCUGAUCCAGCCAUACCGCGUGGGUGAAGAAGGCCUUCGGGUUGUAAAGCCCUUUUGUUGGGAAAGAAAAGCAGCAGGUUAAUACCCCGCUGUUCUGACGGUACCCAAAGAAUAAGCACCGGCUAACUUCGUG